AUUGAACGCUGGCGGCAGGCCUAACACAUGCAAGUCGAGCGGAUGAGAGGAGCUUGCUUCUCGAUUCAGCGGCGGACGGGUGAGUAAUGCCUAGGAAUCUGCCUGGUAGUGGGGGACAACGUUUCGAAAGGAACGCUAAUACCGCAUACGUCCUACGGGAGAAAGCAGGGGACCUUCGGGCCUUGCGCUAUCAGAUGAGCCUAGGUCGGAUUAGCUAGUUGGUGAGGUAAUGGCUCACCAAGGCGACGAUCCGUAACUGGUUUGAGAGGAUGAUCAGGCACACUGGAACUGAGACACGGUCCAGACUCCUACGGGAGGCAGCAGUGGGGAAUAUUGGACAAUGGGCGAAAGCCUGAUCCAGCCAUGCCGCGUGUGUGAAGAAGGUCUUCGGAUUGUAAAGCACUUUAAGUUGGGAGGAAGGGUUGUAGAUUAAUACUCUGCAAUUUUGACGUUACCGACAGAAUAAGCACCGGCUAACUCUGUGCCAGCAGCCGCGGUAAAAC
rnacentral:rRNA from 1 species